AGGCGAGAGGCUUCGGCGGCGGGAGAAGGGGCUUCGUCCUACCGCCAUCUUUGCGGGAAUUGAACAGCUUGGACUUGGAGACAGUGAGUUAAAACAGAAAUAAGAAGGCGGCAGAAAAAGACUACCAGAUUGAAAUGUGUUGGAUAUUCAUAUCCACCCAGCACCUCAGAAUGUGGCCAUGGAGGAUGGAGACAGAGAUUGGAGUGACGCAUCUUCAAGCCUAGGAACACUAAGGAUUGCUGGUAAUCACCAGAAGCUGGAAGAGGCAAGAAAGUGUCCUUUCCUAGAGCCUUCAGAGAGAGCGCAGCCUUGCCAACACCUUGAUUAUACGCUUCAAGCUUCUAGAAUUGUGAGAGAAUAAAUUUCUGUUGUUAUAA
rnacentral:antisense_RNA from 1 species